rnacentral:rRNA from 1 species
UGGGGAAUCUUAGACAAUGGGGGCAACCCUGAUCUAGCCAUGCCGCGUGAGUGACGAAGGUCCUAGGAUCGUAAAGCUCUUUCACCCGUGAAGAUAAUGACGGUAGCGGGAGAAGAAACCCCGGCUAACUCCGUGCCAGCAGCCGCGGUGAUACGGAGGGGGUUAGCGUUGUUCGGAAUUACUGGGCGUAAAGCGCACGUAGGCGGAUCAGAAAGUUGGGGGUGAAAUCCCGGGGCUCAACCCUGGAACUGCCUCCAAAACUUCUGGUCUGGAGUUCGAGAGAGGUGAGUGGAAUUCCGAGUGUAGAGGUGAAAUUCCUAGAUAUUCGGAGGAGCACCAGUGGCGAAGGCGGCUCACUGGCUCGAUACUGACGCUGAGGUGCGAAAGCGUGGGUAGCAAACAGGAUUAGAUACCCUGGUAGUCCACGCCGUAAACGAUGAAUGCCAGACGUCGGGCAGCAUGCUGUUCGGUGUCACACCUAACGGAUUAAGCAUUCCGCCUGGGGAGUACGGCCGCAAGGUUA